UACAGAGGGGGCAAGCGUUGUUCGGAAUUACUGGGCGUAAAGGGCGCGUAGGCGGCGUGUUAAGUCGAACGUGAAAUCCCCGGGCUCAACCCGGGAACUGCGUCCGAGACUGGCAUGCUUGAAUCCGGGAGAGGGAUGUAGAAUUCCAGGUGUAGCGGUGAAAUGCGUAGAUAUCUGGAGGAACAUCGGUGGCGAAGGCGGCAUCCUGGACCGGUAUUGACGCUGAGGCGCGAAAGCCAGGGGAGCAAACGGGG
rnacentral:rRNA from 1 species